CUUCCCUGGGCCGCGAGGGCGGCCGCGCGCCGCGGCUCUGCCGGCGUCGCUGUGGGAGUUCGGGUUUGGCGCCCGCGAAGCGCCGCCCGUGGGACCCCGGAGCGCUCGUGGCCCCCAGCCCGCGGGGAUUCCAGCAUCUCCCAUCACGUCCCGUCACGGCGUGCGUCAGGAGAUCCAACACCAGCCCCAGUGCAAUCUUGGAAGGAGAACUGAAUUAUUUAUGGCAGAGUGGUCAAACGACAGAGAGUGAAGCACCAGGCCUGGUGUAAUUUCGUGUCUCCUGCAGCCAGUUAUGUAAAAAUGUAAAUAUUACAAGUUUUCUGUGUCGCUGCUCCUGCCAAAUGUUUAAUAUUUUAGUAAAGUUGCUCUGAGUGCUCCUGCCACUUCGCAGAAGGAACUCGGUGUGCUCUUGAAUAAGUG
rnacentral:lncRNA from 1 species